rnacentral:lncRNA from 1 species
CCUGUUUCUAACCUCAACAAAAGGGGGAUUAACUACAUCAGUUGCUGCCCCUUUUUCACCAAUAUUUACCCUCGGAAUGCCACUAAUAUUUUCCAGAAUUGGAGCCUGUUCUAGUCGAUCUAAAGGGCUGAAAAUCUGUCGGGUUUCAGACAUUCCAGCAAUGUCAUUCUGGCCAAUAAUCGAAAUCCCAGCCUGAGGGGACAGAAUUAAGUAUCUCCCCAUCCUUCUUCUUUCCAACAACCACCGGAGGAGGGUUCUUUUGAAAGUUACAACUCUUUAACGUGUGCCCAAAAACUUUACAUGAUCCACAGAAUUUCGGUUCAUGCUCAUACACAAUCUCUUGUUCACGUAGAGUACCAUUUGGGAGCCUAAUCUUGACAAAUUUAACAAGCUCUAGCAUAAGAUAAAUGCCCCUUUGAAGCUGUGACCUUAUCAGUGGAUAUAGGCUUACCCACCUUAGUCACAAUUUUCCCCAAGGAUGUGGUGUUCCAGAAUUCCAAGGUAACUCCGGAAGAUUAAUUCAUACCGGCAUCGUGCUCACAUCCUUGUCUUCAAAAUCAAAAUAUCGCGGCAUGAUUUUGAGCAUGAGUGGUCUCCCAUACACCAAGUAGGGGCCCCCAUGUAACACACUCAAUCUUGCAACCUCCGAAUCAAAUUUGAAAACAAGCCAUCCACUUGAAUGCACAAAAUACUUAUAGCUCACUUUCCAUGAGUCAC